rnacentral:rRNA from 1 species
UUUGAUCAUGGCUCAGAUUGAACGCUGGCGGCAGGCCUAACACAUGCAAGUCGAGCGGAUGAGAGGAGCUUGCUCCUUGAUUUAGCGGCGGACGGGUGAGUAAUGCCUAGGAAUCUGCCUGGUAGUGGGGGAUAACGUCCGGAAACGGGCGCUAAUACCGCAUACGUCCUACGGGAGAAAGCAGGGGACCUUCGGGCCUUGCGCUAUCAGAUGAGCCUAGGUCGGAUUAGCUAGUUGGUGAGGUAAUGGCUCACCAAGGCGACGAUCCGUAACUGGUCUGAGAGGAUGAUCAGUCACACUGGAACUGAGACACGGUCCAGACUCCUACGGGAGGCAGCAGUGGGGAAUAUUGGACAAUGGGCGAAAGCCUGAUCCAGCCAUGCCGCGUGUGUGAAGAAGGUCUUCGGAUUGUAAAGCACUUUAAGUUGGGAGGAAGGGCAGUAAGUUAAUACCUUGCUGUUUUGACGUUACCGACAGAAUAAGCACCGGCUAACUUCGUGCCAGCAGCCGCGGUAAUACGAAGGGUGCAAGCGUUAAUCGGAAUUACUGGGCGUAAAGCGCGCGUAGGUGGUUCGUUAAGUUGGAUGUGAAAGCCCCGGGCUCAACCUGGGAACUGCAUCCAAAACUGGCGAGCUAGAGUACGGUAGAGGGUGGUGGAAUUUCCUGUGUAGCGGUGAAAUGCGUAGAUAUAGGAAGGAACACCAGUGGCGAAGGCGACCACCUGA